CGGAAUCAAAAUUCAAAGCGACAUCGACGAAAAGGGUGAACGGCAAACGGAUCCCCAGUACGUUAAUGAAACACCAGCAGACUGUGUGCGCAGGGAGGUGAACGGCAAACGGAUCCCCAGUACAAGUUAAUGAAACACCAGCAGACUGUGUGCGCAUGGAGUGAGUUGAAUAGAUAGAUAUAAAAUGAACUAUACAUCUAUUUAUGUUACUUAUGUUACUCAUCCUAUAAUUUGCAUUAUU